GUCUUGUUUAUAUUCUUAUGAAAUGGUAUUAGACUUUAAUAACAGCAACAACAGCUCCAUCCCAUCUCUACUAACUUCUCUUUUUCCC